rnacentral:lncRNA from 1 species
GUCAUCCACAUUAUCUCUAUAUAAAUCGAUGUUUACAGAUGUAUAUAUCGAGACAAGACCUCGAUAAUAGCCAAACAAGGUAAAAAAAGACUAAGUCUAAAGAUAGGAGACCAAUAAAGAAUGCUUUCUGAUGAAAGGAAUCUCACCAUUCCAAAGUCAAUGCACGAAACGCUUCGAUCACCUAAUCACUGCAUGCGAAGAGAAGAUGAUGCUCCGGCCCCUAUAUCGCAUGGGGACAUAGCGUUCGGAGAUGGUUAGCAGUUGGAGUUCUAGCAUGUAACUCAAGAAUGAGAAUAAAAUAGCAUCAUCAAUCAAUAACAAGUCAAUAUAUCAUAUUCAACAUAUUCAUGACCUUAUCCAUACAUAUAGGUGUAUCACAUGCCAAACAAGUAGACAAGUCUUAACAACAUUCUCAAAGCACUUAAUCACGAGACAUAAAGUGCAUGACUUGGACCUUUUACACGUAGAUUCAAACAAUUCUCAUUAGGUAUGGGACUUCAACCACAUUCACAUAUUACUUAGACUAAGGACUUUAACCAUGUACUCACU